AUCUCCCCAUUUCAAGGCCAGCUGAUUACCAACCUUAAUUCCACGAGGAGCCUAAGUGCCCUUUUCUUUGUAACACAAGGUUUAACUUCAGAAAUGAGGUGAAUCGCUGGGCAACUGCAAUCAGCUGGCAAUUUUGAGACCAGCCGUUUCUCAUAAAGGUGGAACUCUAAUUUGGAUAACAGAACAGAGGCAAAAUGAAGACACUGUGCCUCUCUUUGAGUAAUUGCUUUGGUUUCUAAUGGAAAAGAACCGCAUCCUGUUAUCCUGAAGUAGCAUUACAAUAUGUGGCGGCCUCUAACUAAAUCAGAGAAGAAUAGUUAGAGAAUAUACAACUCUUUGAUAUAUUGACUUCUGGAACACUAUUGUACCUGAAGAAGCCAAUAAAUAAUAUUUUGAAAGACACUGUUCUAGGCGCAAGAGCUAUGUCAGAGAAGGAAAUGUGCCAUGAUACCUGCCCUCUUUGAACUUCCUUCAUAAAGGAAGGAAGACGGACAGUAAACAAUACGCAGGCAGCAUCCCUAAAAUUUUUAAUGAUUCAGUGAUCCAGUGGUCACUAUAUUGUUCUAAACACACUGGCAACAUGAGUCAAGACCCCAUCUGAUAUACAUUCUCUGAGUCUUCGGCAGAGUGAAAGGUAACAAGACAUUUUCUAGAAGCCUACUCUCAGGAGAAGGAGAGACGGAGAUGUAAAAUCACUUGGAUACACAGUAUACUGGAAUUCUUUCCAUCAAAGAGGGCCUCAUUUAUGAUCUCCUGGAACACUCUGUAACAGCUCUCCUCUUUCUUCCCAAGAUCUUUACACCCCAAAGCUACUCAGGAGUGCUCACUUUCUAGACAUGGACUCCUUAUCCUGUCUUUGCCACCCAUUACCCGUUCCUUCUUUUGUUCCUUAAAUGGACCCAGCUGCUCUUUUAGAAAUGAGUAGACCUUCUUUGGGAAGUAAAAGUGCAGAGAAAAUUUUUGGACAAAUACAGGCUUGUCUUUGGCAGGUGGGAUGAAGAAAAAGCCAGGAAAUUUUUACAUGAAUGAUAUUGCCCUGUCACUCAUGAAUAACUCAAAUAUAAUGUCCAAGAGUGAGAGCUCUGAGGCCUGCAAUGCCUGGAUCCAAGGAGCUGCUCGCCCAAUCACUGUGUGAAUGCCCUUGGACAAAUGUCCUAAUAUUUCUUUGCAAAUAGAUGUAUCUAUUUUAAUACGUAUAUAUAAACACAUAGUUUGUACAUAAGUGAAUUUUUUAAUAUUUGAA